rnacentral:rRNA from 1 species
CCCUCAGAUGUUCUGGGCCGCACGCGCGCUACACUGAUGCAUUCAACGAGUCUAAAACCUGCUCUGAUAGGGGUGGGUAAUCUUUUGAAUGUGCAUCGUGAUUGGGAUAGAUGAUUGCAAUUUUUCAUCUUCAACGAGGAAUGCCUAGUAAACGCAAGUCAUCAGCUUGCAUUGAUUACGUCCCUGCCCUUUGUACACACCGCCCGUCGCUCCUACCGAUUGAAUGAUCCGAUGAAUAUCAUGGAUUGAGGAUGCAAGUAGGUUCGCCUAUCUUCAUCUUCGAGAAGUGAAGUAAAUCUUAUCAUUUAGAGGAAGGAGAAGUCGUAACA